rnacentral:rRNA from 1 species
UACAGAGGUCCCGAGCGUUGUUCGGAUUCAUUGGGCGUAAAGGGUGCGUAGGCGGUUUGGUAAGUCUGAUGUGAAAUCUAUGGGCUCAACUCAUAGUCUGCAUCGGAAACUGCCGGGCUUGAGUGUGGGAGAGGUGAGUGGAAUUCCUGGUGUAGCGGUGAAAUGCGCAGAUAUCAGGAAGAACACCCGUGGCUAAGGCGGCUCUCUAGUACGUGACUGACGCUGAGACGCGAAAGCGUGGGGAGCGAACAGG